GGGUUGUGAGGUUAAGCGACUAAGCGUACACGGUGGAUGCCCUGGCAGUCAGAGGCGAUGAAGGGCGUGCUAAUCUGCGAUAAGCGCCGGUAAGGUGAUAUGAACCGUUAUAACCGGCGAUACCCGAAUGGGGAAACCCAGUGUGACUCGUCACACUAUCAUUAACUGAAUCCAUAGGUUAAUGAGGCGAACCGGGGGAACUGAAACAUCUAAGUACCCCGAGGAAAAGAAAUCAACCGAGAUUCCCCCAGUAGCGGCGAGCGAACGGGGAGGAGCCCAGAGCCUGAAUCAGCAUGUGUGUUAGUGGAAGCGUCUGGAAAGGCGCGCGAUACAGGGUGACAGCCCCGUACACAAAAGCGCAUGUGCUGUGAGCUCGAUGAGUAGGGCGGGACACGUGGUAUCCUGUCUGAAUAUGGGGGGACCAUCCUCCAAGGCUAAAUACUCCUGACUGACCGAUAGUGAACCAGUACCGUGAGGGAAAGGCGAAAAGAACCCCGGCGAGGGGAGUGAAAAAGAACCUGAAACCGUGUACGUACAAGCAGUGGGAGCACCCUUUGGGUGUGACUGCGUACCUUUUGUAUAAUGGGUCAGCGACUUAUAUUCUGUAGCAAGGUUAACCGAAUAGGGGAGCCGGAGGGAAACCGAGUCUUAACCGGGCGUUAAGUUGCAGGGUAUAGACCCGAAACCCGGUGAUCUAGCCAUGGGCAGGUUGAAGGUUGGGUAACACUAACUGGAGGACCGAACCGACUAAUGUUGAAAAAUUAGCGGAUGACCUGUGGCUGGGGGUGAAAGGCCAAUCAAACCGGGAGAUAGCUGGUUCUCCCCGAAAGCUAUUUAGGUAGCGCCUCGUGAAUUCAUCUCCGGGGGUAGAGCACUGUUUCGGCUAGGGGGCCAUCCCGGCUUACCAACCCGAUGCAAACUGCGAAUACCGGAGAAUGUUAUCACGGGAGACACACGGCGGGUGCUAACGUCCGUCGUGAAGAGGGAAACAACCCAGACCGCCAGCUAAGGUCCCAAAGUCAUGGUUAAGUGGGAAACGAUGUGGGAAGGCCCAGACAGCCAGGAUGUUGGCUUAGAAGCAGCCAUCAUUUAAAGAAAGCGUAAUAGCUCACUGGUCGAGUCGGCCUGCGCGGAAGAUGUAACGGGGCUAAACCAUGCACCGAAGCUGCGGCAGCGACACUGUGUGUUGUUGGGUAGGGGAGCGUUCUGUAAGCCUGUGAA
rnacentral:rRNA from 1 species